UCGCCUGUUUUUACAAAAACAUUUCUAUUAGAAAAUUAUUAAUAGUAAAUUCUGCUCAAUGAAAAUUUAAUAGCCGCUUUUGUGCUAAGGUAGCAUAAUAAUUUGUCUUUUAAUUAAAGACUAGAACAAAAGAUUUUUCAUUUUAAUUCAUAUUUUAAAUUUAUUAUUAUUAAAUUAUCUUAAAUGUAAAAAGACACUUAUAAAAAAGAAAGACGACAAGACCCUAUAGAACUUAACUUAAGUUUAACUGGGGCAGUUAAUUAAUAAAAAUUUUAAUAAAAUGUAAUUCUUAAAUAGACCUAAUAUAAUUAAUAAAAUGACCAAGUUACCUUAGGGAUAACAGCGUAAUAUAAUUUUAAAGAUCUUAUAAAAAACUAAGAUUACGACCUCGAUGUUGAUUUAAUUUUCUAAUUUAACGCAAUAGUAAUAAAGAAAGUCGUCGCUAA
rnacentral:rRNA from 1 species